GAAUCCCGUAUAUGGCAUGGACUACCGUUACUCUGUGAUACACUCUCGACGAGUCGAGUUGUUUGGGAAUGCAGCUCAAAAUGGGUGGUAAAUGCCAUCUAAAGCUAAAUAUUGGCGAGAGACCGAUAGCGAACAAGUACCGUGAGGGAAAGAUGAAAAGAACUUUGGAAAGAGAGUUAAACAGUACGUGAAAUUGCUGAAAGGGAAACGCUUGAAGUCGGUCGCGCCGUUCGGGAUUCAGCCUUGCUUCUGCUCGGUUUACUUCCCGUUGGGUGGGUCAACAUCAGUUUUGGUCGGAGGAGAAAGGCUUGGGGAAGGUGGCAGCAUUCGUGCUGUGUUAUAGCCCCUUGUUGUAUACUUCGACUGGGACUGAGGACCGCAGCACGCCUUUGGCCGGGGUUCGCCCACGUACGUGCUUAGGAUGUUGGCAUAAUGGCUUUAAGCGACCCGUCUUGAAACACGGACCAAGGAGUCUAACAUGUGCGCGAGUGUUUGAGUGUUAAACUCAGACGCGAAAUGAAAGUGAAAAGUUGGGAACACUCAUGUGUGCACCGACGCCCGGAGCUGACCUUCUGUGACGCAUCUGCGGUAGAGCGUAUAUGUUGGGACCCGAAAGAUGGUGAACUAUGCCUGAAUAGGGUGAAGCCAGAGGAAACUCUGGUGGAGGCUCGUAGCGAUUCUGACGUGCAAAUCGAUCGUCAAAUUUGGGUAUAGGGGCGAAAGACUAAUCGAACCAUCUAGUAGCUGGUUCCUGCC
rnacentral:rRNA from 1 species